AAUGAACGUUGGCAGCGUGGAUUAGGCAUGCAAGUCGAGCGACAAGGUCCCUUGGACGUGGAGGAGCGGCAAACGGGGUAGGUAAUACAUCGGAACGUACCCUCACGUCUGGGAUAGCCACGGGAAACUGUGGGUAAUACUGGAUAAUCUCACCACUUGUUGAAGAGUGGUGAGCAAAGGUCCGCCGCGUGAGGAGCGGCCGAUGCGAUACUAGAUAGUUGGUGGGGUAAUGGCCUACCAAGUCUAAGAUGUCUAGGGGGUGUGAGAGCAUGGCCCCCACCACUGGGACUGAGACACUGCCCAGACACCUACGGGUGGCUGCAGUCGAGAAUCUUUGGCAAUGGGCGCAAAGCCUGACCAAGCGACGCUGCGUGCGGGAUGAAGGCCCUUGGGUUGUAAACCCCUUUCAUGAGGAAAGAUAAAGUGGGUAACCACUUAGACGGUACCUCAAGAAGAAGCCACGGCUAACUUCGUGCCAGCAGCCGCGGUAAAGUCUAG
rnacentral:rRNA from 1 species